CACUGAGCACCUUGCGACCCCUACUCCUGCCCGCCAUAGAACAAACCCCCUUUGACUGUAAUUUUCCUUUACCUGCCCAAAUCCUAUAAAAUGGCCCCACCCUUAUCUCCCUUUGCUGACUCUCUUUUCGGACUCAGCCUGCCUGCACCCAGAUGAAAUAAACAGCCAUGUUGCUCACACAAAGCCCGUUUGGUGGUCUCUUCACAUGGACGCGCAUGAAAUCUAGGGCUUCCAUUUUUUUUGGAUACAUAUGCAGGACGUGCAGGUUUGCUACUCAGGGAAAUGUGUGCCAUGGUGGUUUCCUGCAUCUAUCAACCCAUCACCUAGGUAUGAAGCCCCACAUGCAUUAGCUAUUUAUCCUGAUGCUCUCCCUCUCACUGCCCUUCCCUGACAUGCCACAGUAUGUGUUGUUCGCCUCUUUGUGUCUAUGUGUUCUCACUGUUCGGCUCCCACUUAAAAGUGAGAACAUGUGACGUUUGAUUUUUUUGUUCCUGUGUUCAUUUGCUGAGGAUAAUUGCUUUGCACCUUAACCUUGUCCCUGAAAAGGACAUGAUCUCAUUCCUUUUUAUGGCCGCAUAGUAUGCCAUGGUGUAUAUUUACCACAUUUUCGUUAUCUAGUCUAUCACUGAUGCGUGUUUUGAUUGAUUCCAUGUCUUUAUUAUUG
rnacentral:lncRNA from 1 species